UUUUUUUUUUUGUGGGUGAGGCCACAUGUGAUUCUACUCACUAGUAACCGGUGCCACUUGGGCCUGACAGGUCAAUCAGCCGGUUUAGGAGGAAUUGUUUAAGCAAAAUAUUUUGUGGUUAUUCCAUCUUUAAAUUUGGUAAAUCGGUGUGACAAAACAGUAAAAGAGACCAAAGGUGGAACUUGUCCAGCUAGACCUCAGCACCUGGCUGACAGUGAUUAACCAGCUAAUCCCUAGCGCUGCAUCCGUUCAUAUGCAUGCAUCCAUGCGCUAACAGACGGUGCAGGCGCUGUACGCCCGAUCAUACCUACAGUAUUUGCCGCGUGCGGGUCGUGUCACCAGGACAGACAACAUACACUUUUGCCGUGCACAGCAGGAUGGUACGUAGGGAUGAAUGAUUCAACAAAUAAUGGAGGAGGAGGAGGCUGAUCGAUCGGGUUCGUCCAAGACAUGCAUAUAUGUCGUCACGGUCCAAGAAGAAUGAUGAAAAAAAGGACAUGCAUGAAUGCAUGUCGAGCCUUCCCUGUGCAUAUCAUUAUCAAGUACUACCAUGUACGGCAAACAAUACAUAGUACGUCUUUCAUCUUUCCUAAUGAAAUUUCAUCAAGGGACGUCUUAUCGUGAAACAGUAGCGUGAAAACGCGUCACAUGCAUGCAUGCAUGUAUGUGUAUGUGUAAUGAUGGGACACGACAAAAAUUUGAUAAAAGAUGGGACACGAAAAUGGCAGUCAGUCAAGCAACAUGCAUGCAUGAUACGGUUGGUGCCGGCCGAUGGAUCCACCCAGCAAUUCACGUUGCAAUCGUAGAAUGCAAGUGGCUGGUGCCGAUCCUGGUCAGGGUCAGAGCGAGGGAAAGGCAGCAGCUGGCUGGCUGGUACGGCUGAUUUGUAAGGAUGCGCCGCCCGUGAACACUCGGGUUUUGUUGGCUUCCCCGGCAGGGAGGGGGUCGCCACGAUCGACGCCAGAGGGGUGAAAGGCAGAGUCGUCUCGGAGCACCACACCCAUCUCGCCGCGCCGGCCUGGAAAGAGGAAAGGUCACCUUCACCGGCAUGGCGAUGGCCGUUCAUGUUUUGGAAAAGAUAUGGGGUGACUGUGAUCAUUUUCUUUGUAGUUUGUGCCGGCCAGGGGUCAGAGAGUUUGUAUGCACGCUUAAUUACAACGGAAUUUACAUACAGGGAGAAGAACAUAUAUCAGGUAUACUAUACGUGCAUAACCCACAUUUUUUAAUCUGAAUGACGGGCUCCUUGACAAAGAAAUGAUAACCGGCCCCUUCAUAGCACCUUGCAUAGUAAGCGAUCAUAACCUGCCCAAAGUGGUACUAUUUGUCGGUGGCAGAGAGGGGAUUGAGCUAUAUCUUUAUAUGAGUAUGAAAGUAAAGUACUCAGCGUAUGACACUUGAGCGUAUAUGAUUCCCAUACGGUUUUCAAUCCAGCGGAUACCCCUUGCUUUUGCCUCAUACUACGUACAUCAGAGGUUGCAUAAGGUUGCUAUGCAACGUAUAUAGUAUUAAAAACGAGCUCAUAGCGUAAAAAGUCACAACUUGCACGCGUAUAUCACCUAGAGCCGUUAGUUCCUCUCUUUUGCAAAAAAGAAAAAAGAAAAAAUCUAUCGUAUUGACGUUUGCAACAAACACCGAUGCAUCACGUUGCUCAGUUUGACGCUGUUCUUGACGUUGCAGCAAAGAUUAAAAGGAAGGACAUUCCAGGGUCUGAACCUAGGCACAUUUUGUUUUUAUCUCUCCGAUCUCACCGAAUUUGACUGAUGUAAUCCUCCUGUGGUCUGUGCACUCCAUUUUCUGGAUGUUUUUAUCCUUGGAUCCACGAUCAGUGGAAAUUAAUCAGCGAUACAUGCAAAAAGGGUAACAAAUUUGUUAAGUAAUUAAGCCAAUUUUCUACAUAAAUUGAAAGGGUAAAUUUGGCUUUCCGGCCCUUCAAUUGCUUGUUUGCAUGCCUUCACAGGCAUUAAAUUCAGUGAAUAACUGUAUUUGGUAUAUUUUUUGGAUUGUAAUUGCAGUGUGCAUACACUUAUGGAUCUUCAGUCUAGCAGGGCAUAGUGUAGCAUAGUUAGGCUCUAGUAGUUGCUCAAAAAAAGGUUAGGCUCUAGCUCAAGGGUUUAUCUGACCGAGACUCCACCUUAGAUCAUACCCGAGUGAGAGCAUCUCCAAAAGAUGGUAUACACGAUCUUCUGUAUGGGAUUUAGACUAAGACACAAGAGAUUAAUCAAGUAACUUUGUCAUGCAUGCACUCAUCAUGUUAGUAUUAUAAAACUAGUUAGGGCCUAUUUGAUUCACAGGAUUGGAGUGGCAUUGCCCAUGUGAAUCCUAUAGAAUUAGCAAGGACUGUUUGAUGCCAGAUGAAAAACCAAAUGAAUUGUAAGAAAGGCUGGAGUGGAUGUUAGAUUUCCUAUAAAACAUAGUACAAAAGAUUCCGCAGGAAAAGUUCCAACGUAUGAAAAUUACGAAGGAUUUUCAAUCCUCCAAAAUAUCAUAUAGAUGCCCUUUGAAUCAAAGGAGCCCUACAGUUUGGAUGUUGAAUGGAGUGCUAUACGUUAGUAGUACAAAAAUGGAGAAAUUUUUUUACUAGUACUAACUAUCAUGAAGUAUAUUUUCAUAUUGAUUCGUAUAUCUCAAAACAAAAUAAUUUUUGGGAGUUGAAUGGUGUUAGAAAAAAAUGAAGAAAUUUUGUUACUUCUAGUUAACAUGGAUCACAUAUAUUUUGAUUUAACAUUUUAAACUUGAUAGUGUAUGCAACAAGUGAGCCACGUGUAAACAUGGGCCGCAAAAUUCGUCCCUACCAGCCCAUCCUCUUUCAUGGCAAAUAUUUCUCAAAAUCUUCUAAAUAUAAACUAUUUCUCAAAAAAAAAGGAAAAUGAAUCACACCUUGGCACUUGCAUUGCUACAUACAAGUGAUGAGCAAUCCAAACUAUUCAAAAAAAAAAGCUCAUACCAGACUACAUAUACUCUAUCUUCUGCAGGACAUGGGCCACGAGCCCACGACCAUUCAACAUCCCAUUGGACAUACACUUGCAUCAAACAAGCUUAUUGUGCUGUUCGGUGAAACGAUGAAACCGGCUUCAAAUUCAUACAUGAAAUGAAAUAAGCUUGUGUUGUAGUACAACGUAAUGUACAUAACGAAGAAAUGCCAUUGGAGACCCCAGUGAUUAUGAAUUUAUGACAAAGCGAGCAAGGUACGAGUAAUGAAUGAAUAUUCUGCAAAUUACAUUUCAUCAAACAAAUACAAGUGUUACACGUGCUUAAUCGAUUUACUGUUCAUGCGCACACACGCACACCCAGUCGUAUGUAUCUCUUGUAGUACACAGCCAAACUAAGACAAAUUAAUCUCACCAAACCAGUGCAUAUAAAUUAACACACGCAAGAAAAACUACUUAACAACCGACCGAUUAUUGCAUGAUGAAAUCAAAUUUGGAACUAAAAUAACAUACAUGCAUGGAUGCACUGACGAUGCAUGCAUGCGCUGAUUUGCCUGAUUAACUGAUGGAUUAAGCGCACUGGAAGCCCUUGGGGGCGGUCUUGCCGCAGUAGUUGAGGAGGAGGCUGAGCUUGACGGGGAUGUUGAGGACGAUGCCGAGGACGUUGGCCUUGAGCGCGGUGCAGAGGCACACGGCGGCCUCGAGGUCGGCCAGGCCGCCGAGGAGGCUGCAGCACUUGUCGCCGCCGCCGCUGGGGGGCUUGCCGACGCCCACGUUCACCAAGCCCAGCACGUUGGCGCAGGCGCCCAGCUUCAGUGUGUCCG
rnacentral:lncRNA from 1 species